CUUGCUUUUAACACUUAGUGGCGGACGGGUGAGUAAUGUAUGAGCAACCUGCCUUUCAGAGGGGGACAACAGUUGGAAACGACUGCUAAUACCGCAUAAUGUACGUUGAAGGCAUCUUCGAUGUACCAAAGGAGCAAUCCGCUGAAAGAUGGGCUCAUAUCUGAUUAGCUAGUUGGUGAGGUAACGGCUCACCAAGGCUGCGAUCAGUAGCCGGACUGAGAGGUUGAACGGCCACAUUGGGACUGAGAUACGGCCCAGACUCC
rnacentral:rRNA from 1 species